rnacentral:lncRNA from 1 species
AGGGUCUUUAAUUUAUAUCUUUCCAUAAAAAAUAUACAUAUAUUUAUUAUUCUUUAUAUUUUCUGUCCAUUAUACUAUAUCCUUUAUAUUUAGAAACCCAUUAUUCUCCUUUAUUUAUCAUUUUGCUUAUUUUUCUCUAUUCUGUAUUUUGUUGCCUUUAACUUGCACUUGUUUCCCUAUUAUUUUCCAUUAUUUUGUCUAUUAUUUUUCUAUUCUUUAUUUUGUUGCCCUGUAAAAUGCACCCUUCCCUCCACAUUAUUCUCUAUUCUGGAAACCAAAAUCCCAGACCCUAUCUUAUUCUUUGAAAUCAUAACAAUCAGGUCAAAAAACGCAUUUACACUUUACGAUUUUUCAAUGUCAGAAUGUCUUUUAAACUCCAUGUUCAAAUUGUAAAUCAUCCUACUUAGUAAAUAAUACAUUGAUAUAGCAGUUCUUUAAGUGAAUCGAUAAACUAUAGGUCC